UGCAAGUCGAGCGAGAAAGGGUAGCAAUACCUGAGUAAAGCGGCGCACGGGUGAGUAACACGUGGAUAACCUGCCUCGAAGUGGGGAAUAACCCCGGGAAACCGGAGCUAAUACCGCAUAUUCUGACGAAGUCUGCGGAUUUUGUCAGGAAAGGAGCAAUUCGCUUUGAGAGGGGUCCGCGGCUGAUUAGCUAGUUGGUGAGGUAAUGGCUCACCAAGGCCACGAUCAGUAGCCGGUCUGAGAGGACGGUCGGCCACACUGGAACUGAGACACGGUCCAGACUCCUACGGGAGGCAGCAGUGGGGAAUUUUUCGCAAUGGGGGCAACCCUGACGAAGCAACGCCGCGUGGGUGAUGAAGUAUUUCGGUACGUAAAACCCUUUCGACGGGGACGAAACCGCAAGGUUGACGGUACCCGUAGAAGAAGCCCCGGCUAACUCCGUGCCAGCAGCCGCGGUAAUACGGGGGGGGCAAGCGUUGUUCGGAAUUACUGGGCGUAAAGGGCGCGUAGGCGGUUCGCUAAGUUGGAUGUGAAAACUCUGGGCUUAACCCAGAGCCUGCAUCCAAAACUGGCGAACUGGAGUACUGGAGGGGAAAGCGGAAUUCCUGGUGUAGCGGUGAAAUGCGUAGAUAUCAGGAGGAACACCGGUGGCGAAGGCGGCUUUCUGGACAGUAACUGACGCUGAGGCGCGAAAGCUAGGGGAGCAAACAGGAUUAGAUACCCUGGUAGUCCUAGCCCUAAACUAUGG
rnacentral:rRNA from 1 species